rnacentral:misc_RNA from 1 species
CGCUGACGCGCCUUACGCAAACGGGGCUGGCUAGGUUCCAGAAAUAGACUCCGCCCGCUUCAGCGCGCAUACAGUUUUGUCUGCUUUACGCAAGGGACUUCGGCUCACUCACACAGACGUACUCCCGCUACGCCGCCUCUCUUUUUCUUACCGGAUAUAUCUACUUCGUAGGAAGCAGCCGAAUACACGCCGAGACAAGAUGCAGUGGCUCGACAACUACGGUGACCACCACUACGACGGCCACGCCGUGCAGAUGUGGUUGGCGAGCAAUGUAGAUGUUUGCGCCUAUAUCGCGGGCGCGUACCUCGCCUUCGUCUUCACCGGUCCGCGGAUCAUGGAGGCCCUGUUUCACGGCAAGCCGCCGAUGGGCAUCAAGAAGGCGUGGGCGCUUUGGAACCUAGGGCUCUCCGUCUUCUCCCUCUACGGCUGGCUGCGUGUCGGGCCGCCGCUGCUGCGCCAUCUGAUGAACGACGGCCUGCACAACACCCUCUGCACCUUCCACGAGGAUGAGUUCUACACCACCAAGGUCGGCUUCGCCAUCGGUAUGUUCGCUAUCUCGAAGGUGCCCGAGUUCAUCGACACGGUCUUUCUGCUCAUGAGUGGCGUGAAGUUGGGCUUCCUCUCGUGGUUCCACCACGUCACGACGUACCUGUUUGCGUGGUACAGUUAUCAGCAAGGGACCAGCAUUUUUAUCUGCGCUGCCGCCAUGAACUACUUUGUGCACUCCAUCAUGUAUAUGUACUUCGCCCUAUCGGAGGCCGGCUAUAAGAAGCUGGUGAAGCCGUUCGCCAUGUACAUCACGCUGCUACAGAUCGCGCAGAUGGUCGGUGGUCUCUUCGUGUCGGGCUACGUACUCGCCCAGAAGCUCACCGAGAACGCAGCGAACGCCUGCAGCGGCACGUCCAUGUCCGCCGCCCGUACGCAGCUGGUGAUCUACAUCUUCAACUUCUACCUCUUCUCAGAGAUGUUCAUCAAGGCUUACGUGCUGCCGCGCAAGGCCAGCGUCGCCCCGCGCCGCCCCUCGCCGUCGAAGAGGUCUUAGUAAGAGGGCCGCAGCGCAUCUUGAUAUUUAUAGUGGUUUCCUUUCCCCUCCCCCUUUCUCUCUCCGUCUCCUCUACCCCCGCCCCCAACUCCUCAAUGUUCUCUUGUAUUUCUUUGUGUGUGUACGUGUGUGUGUGUGUGUGUGUGUGUGCUUCCGUGCUGUCUGAUGCUCUUCUCUUGUCUCUCCCUCUUCAAGCACUCUUCUUUCUCUUCCCCACCGCUCCGAGAGACUCACGGGAUAGUGGUUGCGUUGGCGUAUACUUUUUCCGGCUUGUCCGUGGUGGUGGAAAGGACAUGCUGAAGGCAGCAUGAAAACGAAAAACAAAAGAAAAUGGUGUCCGGCCUCAUGACGUGUGAGAAUGUGAUCAGGCUCGAUGACGAUUACGAUGGUUUGUACGACCGCAGUGAUGAGUUGUGUGGCUGUGUUGUAUUACCUGAGUCUCUUGUGCGUGCAUGCGUGUGUGUGUGUGAUUUUUCUUCUACAUGAUUCUCUUUUCUUUAUUUGUUUUCGUAUGUUAAACUCUUCUUGAUCUGCAUGAUAGAUUCUGAAGACCACUAAGCGACGAAGCGGAGGCGGUGGCGGAGGAGGGAUGGGGACUAAGAGCUGCGCCCGAAGGGGACACACGCACACAGAAAUACAAAGGAAGGCGAAAAGCGGCAAUAGUGAGGCCGCCUAUGUCAGUACAUGCGCGCAUGGGUACCACGCCAUGUCGAAAGGCUGCAACACGCUUACAUAUCUGGUUCUUUCUCCCCACUCACCCACCCAUGCCCACCGAAUUUCUGUUCCCGGAUUCCCUCAUUGCCUAUUGGAUCGUUGCCUCGCUGAGUGAGUACACACAAGUGCGCAGUGCGUUUGUGUGCAGCCGUGUCUGAGUGACCCUCUUCGCCAUCCCACUCUACCAUAUCUUUAUGCUGGCCUCUUCUCUCUCUGUGUAAUUCACGCUGAUCUUCUGUAUGCCUACGCUCUGUCUGCGCACCUGCGUACGUGGGUCUGUGCAUGUUUGGAUGUGGUUUGUGCUUGAGUCGUCCGCAGAACAUCCUGGGCAUAUGGUAGUCUGCGGCACCUUUGCCUUGCCCUUUUUUUUUCUGUCUUCUUCCCCGCCAGUUUUUGUGUGUGUGUGUGUGUGCUCCCUCCUCGCUCGCCUCUCCCUAUCCCUUCCAGCCUCUCUCAUGUGCAUUCAUCAUCGUGUGGAACGCACCAUCUCCUCCCUGGCUCUCUCUUUGCCCACACCCCACCCCCACCCCGCGCCUCACUGCCCUGUUCGCCUGGGUCGCUUCAAGCGUACACGCGUGGUGCACAAGAUGCCGGGAUGGUGCCCUCCCACCUUUGCCUGCGCAUAUACCUUGAAGUAGGCGAGAGAGAAAAUAGAGGAACGCAGAGCUCGACCCGGCACGUGAAGAGCAGGCAGUGCAACGGCGGUGUGGCGUCCACGACAGUGGUGCUGUGUAGGGACUUCCACGCACAAAUAAAACCAUGAAGUACAUAUACGUAGAGCGAAAGAAAAAGGCUCUUAGUACAUGCAUCACGUCUCUUCAGACGUAUGUUUUUUUUUUUCGUGCCUUUGUAAUGGUGCGCGUGCACGAGAGCGGCGGGAGAGAGCGAACACACACCCCAAUGCAAUACGCCCCUCCCCCUCCCCUCUUCCUCCCUCUCGGCCUUCCCUCUCUUGAUUUUUUUCCGCGACAGCUACAUGUGGUGUGUGAAGAAG